UUUUUCCAUCUGCUUUGGCUGCAGGUAAUUUGGAGAUACCAACGUCAUCAGACCAUCUGUUCAGUAAAACCGCAGCAAUGCUUUUCCUCCUGCGUCAUUUAUGCCUCGACAGUGACUUUGGGCUAUUUUCAAUAUAUGCUGGGCAGAGACGAAAUUGUGUUCCGAGUGGUCCCUUAGCAUCGCAUCAAAGGGUACUCUCGCCCUGGGAACCCAGUCACCAUGCUGUGGGAAAGCCAAGCAGCCACAUGCAGAUGUCCUAGCUAUUUCCUAGCUAUUUAAGUCUACUCAGCCAAGAGCCAGCAGGAACCGCUACACAUACUCUGCUGCCCUGGGCUCCAUCAUGCCUGUCCUUGGUUUAACUCCUAAAUAGCUGUCCAUUCAGGCAACGGCCUCCCUCAAUUGAUGUGCAGCUUUCUGUAGAGUGCCUUGAAUUUCUCUGGAAGUUAUAUUUCUACAUAUUUACACUGCCUGGUCCCCCUGAUGCUUGUAUUUUAGAAAGGGCCUCAACACAGCAAAGGUAAUCAGACCCUGUGGAGGCUGAAGAUCUAACCUUGACAUCAACAGCAACAAGCAGUAAUCAACUGGGUUAACUAGCCUGAGGAAAAAGUAACGACUUCUGUCAGUGAAAAAAUGUUGCCUGCCAUAUCAGUAAACAAAUGAUGUUGCAGCCAUCAAGCCAUCACAUUACAGCUGCCCCGACAGUGAGCCCUGAGGGAACUCAGGAUGGAAACAGGAUGCCUGCCAUUUAGCAGUCAACUGCUGCAGCCACUCUGACGGUGCACCCUGAGGAGACUCUGGAUGAAAAAGCACAGGAUACUGGCCCCAGAGAGCUGAGGUGCACAUCAAAGGAAUGAUUUCAGUGAGCCCAGACUCUUGCAUCUUCCCAUACGUAGAAAAGCGCUAAAUUCAUUAACUUGCGAUGUCUGGUUUUCUUUAAUUAACGGCAAUCUUCUGAUGUUCCGACCACCUGGUCUUUGUUCCAAAAACUCCUGUGUAUUCUGGCUCCCCCCCCUUGCCUCUUCUGAGCAGUCCCUCAGAAUGAUCUGAGAGGCCAUGUCCCGGGCUUAAGUCCUCAGUG